rnacentral:misc_RNA from 1 species
UUGUUCGUCAUGUCUUAUGCGUUUAUAUUUGUGCAUCGACAGAGCUCUUCAACAGCCUUUCAGUUCGUCAAAAUUACGUGCAUCAAAAAUUUUUCUGUUGAGUUUUGGUCUUCUAGUACCACAAAUAAAAGAUCUGAAAAAGUGUACGUAUUACAAAGAGAUAAGUCAGUCCGUGAAACUUGUCAAGUGCUCGCAAUUGCAGAUUCUCGUGAUGAAAUUGAAGAAAUAAGCCGAUCUAAGCGUUGGUCUGUUCCAAAAUUAAGCACAUCUGUAAUCGACAAUGAGUCAGAUGACCUGUCACCUAGAAACUCAUCAGACAGUGAGGAAGAAAAAAAAUCAAGAAAAGUUUUUGUUAAUUUCAGCGACUUAAAAGCUCUAAGGCAGUUGGAUUGAAACAAGCACAGCAAGGAAUUUGUGAAAAAUACAGAAAAAUAAAUAAAUUAGAUGAAUAUACUGAUUGUGAUGAAAGUCAAAGUCCAAUAAACAAAGAAAAAACGUCAGAUAAUUUUUAUUUUUCAACAUCUUUUGAUUACACAAAAGAUCCGUUAAGCAAUAGUAUUUUAUCAGAUAUUGAAAAUAUAAAUCAAAAUCAUAAAACAUGUAAGAAACAAUUACAAUUCGGAUCGAAAAAUCAGACUGAAUUUGAUGCUUGGGCUACAAGAGAAGUGAGUUCGCCAUCAGCAACAGAAACAAAACUUGAAUUGGCUGCAGCACGAUCUCAAGUCAAGUUCUGGAAAAAUAAAUACGAUAACCUUCUGGAAUCGAAAGCUUUUCCUCUUUCGGAAGAAACUGGCCAAAUAAUUAUCAAGUUAAUAAAGAAAUCAAGUAUUCCUGAAACUAAUAAUUCAACAGAUGUGUCAUUAAAUGAAGAAACUAUUAAAAAGCAAUGCAGUGAAGUAUUAGUUUCAGAAAAUCACAUGGCUCGUACUCGAAAAGACAAGCCACUUAUUGAAGAAGACGAAGCAGCUAUUUUAACUUCGUUAUUAAAAAACCAAUUUAAAGACGCUGGUGAAUGCGUCAAAACAAUUAUCAAGUCUUUAUGGACAGAUGAUGAGCUAGCUGAGCGAGUUGUUCGUAAAAACGCUAAAAUAAACAAAAAAGCUUUGACAUUUCCAGACAUUUUAGUGGCUGUCCAGAAUCCAGAUUCUGUAUCAUUUUUUUCCAGAUAUUUUAGAUUUUUUACAUUUUUCAUUUUAUUCAUUUAUAUUUUAAUCUUUCGCUAAACUUUUACAGAUACCGAUAAAAGAUAACAACUAAAAAUUACCUACAAAUUAAUUUAGACCAAUCAUUAUUAUGGUUUCCACACUGCAAAAACUGCGCCUUUGGAUUAUAGGCACUGUUCCAUUGGAUUCAUGGAGCACAUUUUAUUGAGCGCUGCUCAAUGAUAUUCAAGGAGCACCGAUAUCGGUCCAGUUGCUCUGUUAAUUCAGAGGUACUGUUCAACUGUAUUCGUUGAGCAGCCUGAGCCGUCACUCGAAUUAAGAAAGAGACACGCAUACACAUAACAUAACCUCUCUAUAUCAGUAACUAUUAAACAAUUAACAUAUAUAUGAAUGCAUAUAUGUUAAAUAUUCGAUAAAUUUAAUAACUAAAGAUAUAUAGAAUAUUUAUAAUAAUUUAUAAAUGAAUAUUUAUGAUGUAAAUAUCAUGACAUGACAGAUAUAAAAGUACAAAUAGAGAGAGAGAAAAAAUAUAAUGUAGUUGUGUUUGCGCAUGCCUCCGAAACGCCGAAAUCUGCUCAACAAAUAUAUAGGUACAGGACCAAGAAAUCAAAGGACAUCAAAGGAACAACUUUAGCGGAGCGGUGCUCCAUGAAUCCAAUGGAACAGUGCCUAUAAUCCAAAGGCGCAGUUUUUGCAGUGCAUGUUUGUGGCGGGAUAUUAAAUGAGCAGAAAUUUUUUGUC